GGCUCUGAGAGGGGAGGGAACCCAUAGAAGAAAGCGGGAGCCCGGCGCUUCGCCCCUCCCGUUUCCCACUCAUCCGGCGCCGAGGCACCGUAGCGGGAUAUCCUCGCCACCUUUUCGGGUCGCCCGCCCUCGCAGCCCAACCGGGCCUGAGAUAGGCGGGAAGGAUGCUGCCCCGCACGCCGCGCCGCUGAGCACAUCGGGGCCCUGAGCGCCGCGCCCGGCCGGCCCCGCCCGGCGAUCCUCGGGCCUCCGCCUCAGCGGCACGGGGCUUCCUUCUCCGCACCCCCGUCCCUUUGCCGCCCAUCCGCCGGGCUGGGCGCUUCCUCCUCUCCCCCGGCCCCGCCGCCUGCCCGUCCGGGCCUUCCCCUCCCCUGCUCUCCUCUUCCCGCGGGGCCUCCGGGCUCUCGGCCUUCUUCCUCCCCUCCCUCGCCCUUCCCCGUUCGGAGCCAUGUCCUCCGCCGCCCGGUUCGAUUCGUCGGACCGCUCCAGCUGGUACGUGGGUCCGGUGUCGCGGGCGGAGGCGCAGACUCGGCUGCAGGGGCAGCGGCACGGCAUGUUCCUGGUGCGGGAUUCGUCCACCUGCCCGGGGGAUUACGUGCUGUCGGUAUCCGAGAACUCCCGGGUGUCCCACUACAUCAUUAACUCCCUGCCUAACCGCCGCUUUAAGAUCGGCGAUCAGGAGUUCGAGCACCUGCCCGCCCUGCUGGAGUUCUACAAGAUCCACUACCUGGAUACCACCACCCUCAUCGAGCCCGCGCCCAGGUAUCCAAGUCCACCAAUGGGAUCUGGAUCUGCCCCUACUAUGUCUGCUGCCGAAGAAAACGUGGAAUACGUUCGGACUCUCUAUGACUUUCCUGGCAAUGAUGCUGAGGAUCUCCCAUUUAAAAAGGGCGAAAUACUGGUAAUUGUAGAGAAGCCAGAAGAACAGUGGUGGAGUGCCAGAAACAAGGAUGGUCGGAUUGGGAUGAUUCCUGUUCCUUAUGUAGAAAAGCUAGUCAGAUCUUCUAUCGGGAAGCAUGGCAACAGAAAUUCCAACAGUUACGGUAUUCCAGAACCCGCCCAUGCUUAUGCUCAGCCUCAGACCACAAGUCCCCUUCCCACAGUAUCCAGUACACCUGGAGCAGUCAUCAAUCCUCUGCCAUCCACGCAGAAUGGACCAGUCUAUGCCAAAGCUAUCCAAAAGAGAGUACCCUGCGCUUAUGACAAGACUGCACUGGCAUUAGAGUGCCCUGCUUGUACAGUCUCAAUAAAAGUUGCCUCAACUUCCAGUAUUUGUGGUUUUCAGUCUUAAACCCCUGAUAUGUGAGCAGAAUACGAACGGCCUCACUGCUGCUCUGUGGGUGAGCGUGUGCCAGCCGAAGCUUUCUGGAACCACAGCCAGAGGUUACCUUAAUAUCCAGAGCUGCAAACUUUGACAGUCAUUGUGCAGACAGCUGAGCCGUCCUGCAGCAGGGCUACCAGCCUGAGAGGGACAGGCGUGCAGUGAGGAGAGAAAGCAUCACAGCUGUCCCCAACUGAGCCUCCUGUCUGACAUCAGAGCCCAGAGAUGCCACCUUCAAGCAGAAAUCACAUCAACUCUUCAAGCUUGAAUCAGGUCAGCAAGCACUGCUCCUGCAUGACUGCCCUCCCUGGGAGAGGGAAGGACCCCCAGCACCCACCGCUGACACUCAGCCCCACUUCUGCUCUCUGGACCCACACUAAAAGCUGCUGCCGUUGCUCAGGGGGUUGGUGAUGUCUCACCUCACACACUGGACACAGCCUCACCUGCAGAAGUGCCACCCAGGCAGGGGUGAGUGAGAGGCAGCAGAGAAUUAGCACAGCGCUCUCCUCAGAUAACCUUCCCAGCACCUGCUUGUUUCAUUCCAGGCAUUUGUAACCAGAACCCUCCCUGCACACGCCGUCGGUCUCACCCGCCGCUGGCGCACCAGACAAUUGGGAUCAGAGCUAAAUCUGGGGUGUCUGUGGGGACCCAGCUCCUGCUUUGUACAUCCUGGCUUAUCCAACAAGGGCAACUGAAAGUCAGCGCUGAAUAAUCCUUCAUUUCUAAUUGUGCGUUUGGUCAGGAAUUUAAGAACAAAUGCACAAGAGAAAGCGUGACCCUCAAGUGACCGUCAGUGCUCCUGUGGAUAUGCUGCUUCCCAGGCUGACCACGUAAUGAAGCCCUGGGGAGGCCGGGGCAGGAGGAGCUCUGCUCACACAGGGGGGCAAAGCAGUGCUGGUUGGGUGCAUGGCUUUGCCUUCCCCCGGCUGCCCCAGCCCCAGAGAUGCAACUGAUGCAGGAGGAGCGAGUGAGAGGAGGGGGUGCUGCUUUGAAGCUACAGAAGGGACAGACAUAAGCGAACAACAGGAGCUGGUUGGAAACUCCUGGUGCUCAGCUCCUGUUAUCCUUCCUGCCCACUGCUGCUCAGCAGCCCGGCGCUGCCAUGAGACCCCUGGGAUGCUCCUGACAAGAAGCAAGGAUCCCUGCCAGCUCCUGGAGUGCACCAUCACUAUCCAUACCAUGUCAUUAAAAACACAUACAAAACAAACCAAACUUGCCUGUUUUUCCAUCGCUGUGGAGCACCCCUGGUAAUGUACAAACCCUAUGGCCCCUGGGUGCCUGGACCCCAACCCAAGGGUUUUUUUUAAUUACAUUCUAUUACUUCACUAGUUUGAUCUGCAUAAGGAAAUAGUUCAGGGAGUUCUCAUUGGGACUUUCAUUUGCUGAAUCUAUUUCUGCAGCUUUGCAUUGCCUCUUUUUUGCACUCAUCUUGUGACCAGUGAUACCAUUAAUCAACCGACCUUGAAGAGGAACAGCUUUUCUCUUCCCAGGUAACACAGCUGACAAGCAGUGGAAACUGGCUCUGUUGGCACUGACUGCUGCUAAGCACUGCAUGUGGGCUGGAGGCCUCCUGGGCACCCCGUCUGGCACAGCACCUGGCACAAAGGCAAUGCAAUUCAUCUCACUGGGGCUUCUUCAUGUAAGAAAAAGCCGUAGCCUUCAAAGACCAAAUACCUCCCACUGCCCUGACUGCCUUCAGGAGCUGUGAGUGCUCAGCACUCUGGAGAACUGGCUCUAAAAUUAACAAAGAGGAUUUCCCUGCUAGAAAUAGCACCCCCAUCGGUACGUGGGACGCACAGCUUGGGGGGAGUCUGCCACUAAAAGGCUUAAAAUGGGUCUGGGAUUCUGCUGGAGGGGUUAAGGCACGACUGACCAACACAAGCAGUGCGUUGUCACUGAUGGAGUCAUCCCACACUGCAGGAUGCACCCCAGAAACAACAUCAGGGUUACUUCCAGUACUCAGUAGCAACUCCUGCCUAUAUGGGGCUGAGUUACCCACCUCCAUCAGAACAGUCAUCAGGAACCACCUGAGCACCAGGGGUAGGUGAUGGGAUGGAAAUGGCUCUGACUGCAGCAUGUUGGCUUCGUGCUGCCCAGCGAUGGCAGCUUGUUACCAAUGCUGGCCUAAAUUUAAACAGGCAAAAAUAAAGACACAUUGGGGAGCAACCCGAGAGCAGAAAGCUUGCAGUCCUUGUCAGGGCAGUGAAGAUUUAGGACUUUCAUCCAUCAGGAGUGCAGGACUCGUGCCUCCCUUGCUGCAGUGGCCUCAUUUCAGCCACAUAUUGCAGCCCUGCAGCCCUAAGGCAGUGGCACUGAGACAGCUACAGAAAAUGGAGGGGAGUGGAAGAAGGAGAGAACGUACCUGGAGAAGGACAAGCAGAUUAAACCCCUCCCUGCUGCCAAAAGCUCUGUGGGCUCUGCAGUCAUCACCCAAAAUAGAGCCUCAGUCUGCAUCUCUCCGUGAGACAGUCCCUGCUGGAAACAUGUCAGGGCAGUGCUGGGGCAGCAGUUUGCAGCACUGGGAGCCACCUCGGGAUCUGCUGACACUGCACCCAGCUGGCUGCUUUCCCUGUGCCCCGCCACUAAAGCUGCCUGUUGACACUUGCUCACCUGGGAACGUGACACACGGCUCAACCCAGCGAGGAAUGCAGGCAGGAUUUGGGCAGAAAGGAGGGAAGGUCGUGCGUUAACCUUGGGAUGUAAGUCAGAAAGCCACCGAGCGUGCUGCCACCUGAAGCCAGGGAUACUCCCCCAGCAGGGGCUCAACAGCCUGGGUUGCUGGGCUUCAAGCCUGGCCGUGCUCUCCCAUGAGCCCUGCUGGGACUC